rnacentral:rRNA from 1 species
GACGAACGCUGGCGGCGUGCUUAACACAUGCAAGUCGAACGAAGAGCGAUGGAAGCUUGCUUCUAUCAAUCUUAGGGGGAAAGGGGUGAGAAACGCGGAUUAAACCUGCCUUUCAGAGGGGAAAAACAGUGGAAACGGACUGCAAAUCCGGCAAACGUUUAAACCUCGGCAUCGAGGAGAGAUAAAAGGUGGCGCUGACAGUUAAGCAUUCAUUGACGGUGGGGUUGGCGUCUGGUUAGCUAGUUGGUGGGGAAACGGCCCACCAAGGCGAUGACCAGUAGCCGGUCUGAGAGGAUGAACGGCCACAUUGGGACUGAGACACGGCCCAGACUCCUACGGGAGGCAGCAGUGGGGAAUCUUCCGCAAUGGACGAAAGUCUGACGGAGCAACGCCGCGUGAGUGAUGACGGCCUUCGGGUUGUAAAGCUCUGUUAAUCGGGACGAAAGGCCUUCUUGCGAAUAGUGAGAAGGAUUGACGGUACCGGAAUAGAAAGCCACGGCUAACUACGUG